UGCAACCUGAGCUCAGUCGUGAUUACCCGCUGA
rnacentral:rRNA from 1 species